GUUUAUAUAUAUUCAGUUCGUUUCGUGUGCAGCGUGGUUAAACAUAUUUUUUUGACUUACAAAGAAAAUGUUCAAAUAUACAGAAAACGUAAAACAUACGCAAUUUAUACAUUCGCUUGAAAAUCAUUGUUUUGUUAAUUCGUGUUAUAACUUUUGUUACUGACGUGAUCUUAGAUUUAAUUUAUACGUGAUAAUAUUAUUUUAUCAGUGAAAACAAUUUGUUGAUAAUUACUUUUUAUGUAGAACGACUGUGACUAGUUUAAAAUACUUAAAAAAAUAAAAUUAGUAAUCGACAGCACACUGAUAUUAUAUUCAGGAGGAAUUCCAUUUUCUUGAAAGGAUAUCAAUAUAUCAAUAUUGAAAGAUAAUGCGAAUGCACGAUUAAACAAUUUGUUGUUUGUAAUGCUGCAGUGUGGAAUAUGAUUUUCCGUAUCGAGAAGAUUACAUAUUUAGUACGCAUUGAUUUUUACCGAUAUCGAUUCGUUUGCUUUUGUGAAGUUUAAAUGUGUAUUGAUGCCAUAUUGUAAAUUGGUGCGGUCAAAGUCGGAACAUACUAAGAAUAUGUAACAUUUAAUCAGAACAAAACAUGUCUUAAUAUAGUGAUAACGAGUUAAUAAACUCAGCACUUUCGUGAUAUAUAUUACAGGAGAACGAUGUUUUUUAAAAAUAACAGGAUAUAUUACUAGGGCUCGUAUUCACAAACCAGUUCUUGGACUUAAGAGAAAAGAUCUUACUUAGAUCCCCAAAAAUACGUUCAGCAUUGAUUAUAUUCAAAUUUUGCUUUUGGCAUUAAUAAAUUGUUUAAAAUAAAGAAUUGUGUACUUACUUAUCUUGUCAUAUUGAGGUGUAUUGUACUAUAAGAACAUACCAGUUUCAACAAUAUUGUUUAUUUAAAUUCUUAAGUCUAAGAAUUGGUUGAUGAAUACGUGCCUUGAUAUAUUAUAUAAAUCUUGUGUGGAGACUUAAAGAGUGUGUGACCGAAGUAAGCUCAAAAUGAAGUUGACAUUCAAAUUUAUGGCGCAUUUGAAUAUUAAAUGGUCUUUGAAAGUACAAUUGUGUACAUUUCAUUUACGUGUUCAACCUAUAUAAAUUACCAGUUAUUACCAGAAAUGAAAACGCCGUAACGGAUAAUAAAAACAUGCGGAUAUCAGCGAAAAGUUAUGAGGAGGAACUUAAAAUCGAAAUAAAAAUUUGCUGCUUCCUCUGGAAAUCCAAAUUCUGAUGACCGUUCAAGGAGUGUCGUUCAAGAAAACAAUGGAAUUUUGUCCCAUCUAGUGGUUUCUAUAAGAGAAGAGUUGCCAGAGCCAAAUUUGGUUGCGCCUAUGUUAGGCGGGAUGGAAUAUGAUUCAGGAUAUGAAUCGUAGACACACAUAGAGACACUGGUGCGGAUUUGUAGAAAAAUGCUCACUGGACCAAUAAACGACGCCCAUAAGCUUUGACAUGUAUCGUCAUCUUAUUUAUAUCAGAAAGCAAGAUUUGUAUAACUUAAAGUUGACAUAUAAUAGUCGAAUGUUUAACCAUAGAACAUUUUAUGAAAGAAUGUUUUUGCUUCUCAUAUUAUGUUUUUUAAUGCAUUUCAAAGGUAGGAAAUUAUUCAAAGUUUAACUUUCACAGACAUAUGAUAUUAUUUUAUAAAAAUGAUUAUCAGGUAGUUUUUUUCCUCCAAUCGUCUGAACAUAGACACGUUGUAUAGCGUGUAAAUUGGGGAACCACACACCAAAAACUAAACAUCAGAUGUGCUGAUAGAUUCUUUUAUUCGCGGAUGUACCGUUCCUUUUUGAAUAGAUUCAUGUGAAUUUAACACAGUGCCUUUAACAUUGUCAUGAGUGCUUACAAUGUUUGUUUUUGUUCAAUAAAAUGCACAUUUGUGCGUUGUUAAAUGAAAACAUUUAAGAUACAUUCACAAUAUUUUAAUAUUAAUAGUUGUUACACUUUGGGAUAAAAUAUAUAUAUGACUUUUACAUCUUACCACGUUGUGUUCAACGCAUUGUGUUCAAUUGUAUUAUCAUAUAUUUUGUCUUAACCAUUUAUUUUUGAAAUUACUUUUUAUUCGUAUUGUAUUAUGUGCCAUUAAAUAUACGUCAAUUCGAAACAUUCGGACUAUUACAAUGUGUUGUUUACAAUUUGAAUUGUUAAUUGCUCAUGUUCUUAUCACAUGUUAUUACCAAUUAAAGGAAAAAUGGUUUUAUGUAAAGGUCAGAAUCCCAGGGUACUUAUGUUUUGCUAGUACGCCAUGGGAAUACAAAUAUAUUGUACAUUACAAAUAUGCAAUUUCUGUUUUAUUUCGUUUUCAUUUGGUUAAAACAAUUAUACAUGUUUAGUUCUGAUUUAUGCUCUUCUAUUUGUGCAUGGUUUUACAUGAUAAAGAAAUAAAACAAUUUUUCGUGUGAAUAGAUUGUUUGGAGACGUUAAAACAGCU